GCAUGCAAGUCGCGCGAUAAGCUCCCGCAAGGGAGUGGAAAGCGGCGAAAGGGACAGUAAUGCGUAGAUAACCUACCCCCGGGACCGGGAUAGCUGCGGGAAACUGCAAUUAAUACCGGAUAACGUCUCCGGACCAAAUGGUGUGAUUCCGCCAGGGGAUGGGUCUGCGUCCUAUUAGCUAGUUGGCGUGGUAACGGCACACCAAGGCAAAGAUGGGUAGCAGGUGUGAGAGCACGACCUGCGUCACUGGGACUGAGACACUGCCCAGACACCUACGGGUGGCUGCAGUCGAGGAUCUUCGGCAAUGGGCGCAAGCCUGACCGAGCGACGCCGCGUGCGGGAUGAAGGCCUUCGGGUUGUAAACCGCUGUCAGAGAGGCGGAAAUAUAGGGGGGUUCUCCCUUCUAUUUGACCUAUUCUCACAGGAAGUGCGGGCUAAGUCCGUGCCAGCAGCCGCGGUAACACGGACCGCACGAACGUUAUUCGGUAUCACUGGGCUUAAAGGGUGCGUAUGCGGCUUGGCAAGUUGGGUGUGAAAGCCCUCGGCUCAACCGAGGAAUUGCGCUCAAUACUGCCGAGCUCGAGAGAGACAGAGGUAAGCGGAACUAAUGGUGGAGCGGUGAAAUGCGU
rnacentral:rRNA from 1 species